rnacentral:rRNA from 1 species
AUUGAACGCUGGCGGAAUGCUUUACACAUGCAAGUCGAACGGCAGCACGGGUGCUUGCACCUGGUGGCGAGUGGCGAACGGGUGAGUAAUGCACCGGAACGUAUCCAAUAAUGGGGGAGUAACGCACCGAAAGGUAGUGCUAAUACCGCAUACGCCCUCGAGGGGGAAAGGACGGGGGAGUCGUAAGACCUCGCGUUAAUGGAGCGGCCGAUGCCGGAUUAGCUAGUUGGUGAGGUAAAGGCUCACCAAGGCGACGAUCCGUAGCUGGUCUGAGAGGACGACCAGCCACACUGGAACUGAGACACGGUCCAGACUCCUACGGGAGGCAGCAGUGGGGAAUUUUGGACAAUGGGCGCAAGCCUGAUCCAGCCAUUCCGCGUGAGUGAAG